rnacentral:rRNA from 1 species
CAGCAGCCGCGGGAACACGUAGGUGGCAAGCGUUGUCCGGAAUUAUUGGGCGUAAAGGGCUCGCAGGCGGUUUAGUAAGUCUGAAGUUAAAGGCAUUGGCUCAACCAAUGUAUGCUUUGGAAACUGUUAGACUUGAGUGCAGAAGGGGAGAGUGGAAUUCCAUGUGUAGCGGUGAAAUGCGUAGAUAUAUGGAGGAACACCGGUGGCGAAAGCGGCUCUCUGGUCUGUCACUGACGCUGAGGCUCGAAAGCGUGGGUAGCGAACAGGAUUAGAUACCCGAGUAGUCCCUGUCUCUUAUACA